rnacentral:sRNA from 1 species
ACAGAGAAUAACUAAAUUCUUAAACCCAAUACCCAAUACCGAAACAAUCAUUUCGCAUUCAGCGCUGCGUUCAGCGUUGAAUACAACGAAUGAGUUGUGCACAUGUGCCCCAAAUAAAUACUCAAGCGAUUGCAGUGGAAAAUGACUUGGGCUGCGUGGAAAACUAAUAAAAAUUGGAAAACGACUUAAUUGAGGCAUUAAAUACAUCAAUGCGCACAAAGAAAUACCAGUUGGUGGCCAGAACAAACCCGAACAGGCCAGGCUAGGCCAGGCCAUGCCAAUUAAUGAUAAAUGCAACAAGUUGAGAAAAUAGAAGAGAAAAAAACACACACAUGAAAAAUACACACAGCUGGAAUAUAUAGUCAAGAUCAGUCCACCGAUAUAUCAUCGUUAUUGUCGGGCUGUGUAUUAAUGCAUUGAAAGUGCAUGCAUAGAAGAGGAGGACUUUGGCAGAUUUUACACAUUUUUCGUGUUAAAAAUAAAAAUAGGUAAAUGCUUAAUGGCUGAGGCAAAAUGGGAAAUAUUCCAGAAAAACGAUAUUGUAUUGCGCACUGGGAAGAAUAAAAUGGCAAGUAAGGGUUCUCUAUGGGUGUAGAGCAACUCUUAGUCGAGCACUCUCGACUCGAGCAUUACUACUUGCUGCUUAGCUUACACUUGCA